GCGGACUAUAAACAUCUCCUGUUGCUACGGGAGGUAAGUCGUAUCUAAGGUCCUUCCUAUUUCCUGGUGAAUGCACAACAUUUGCAUUGCAUAAGAACCUUAUAGGAUGGGAAUGAUUGUUCCGGGUAUUAGUCAAACCGUCAGGUAUAACCAGGGAAACAGAGUAACUGUCUUGAAAAACAAAUG